UACGUAGGUGGCGAGCGUUGUCCGGAUUUACUGGGCGUAAAGGGAGCGUAGGUGGACUUUUAAGUGAGAUGUGAAAUACUCGGGCUCAACUUGAGUGCUGCAUUUCAAACUGGAAGUCUAGAGUGCAGGAGAGGAGAAUGGAAUUCCUAGUGUAGCGGUGAAAUGCGUAGAGAUUAGGAAGAACACCAGUGGCGAAGGCGAUUCUCUGGACUGUAACUGACGCUGAGGCUCGAAAGCGUGGGGAGCAAACAGG
rnacentral:rRNA from 1 species